AUAUACCGGUAUUAUACUUAUACAAUUCAUUUCUAUCAUCAACUCCAUAUUCUCUAUACGUAAAGUAACAAGGAGCACAUUCAGUCAAAGCGCUCCGUCUGUGCGAUUAUGAGUGAUUUGGGGUAGAAGGUCACGAACUCGUUGCGAGCUGUAUCUUGAAAGCAAGAAAGCAAAUGAGAUGAGCUAAGCCAUUCAAUCAGCAUGAUGAGAUGCCUGUUCGCAUGAUUAAUGCAAUGCCCGAGUGUUAGGUAAUCAGCACGUGUUCUACCAGAAUCAUAUAUAUCAUAAGUCAUGAAUGUAAUCACGCGGUCUGUUAUCGUACGGUUGCUUCUACCUUUUAC